rnacentral:lncRNA from 13 species
UUUGCAUGCUGCCAAUUAAAGUGGAUAUAUUACUGCCAUCCUUCGUGCGCUGGCGCGAGACAGCGGCUUCGUGUUGUUUCCCGCAGAAAUUCCUUAAGGACGCUGCCGAGACCGACAGGUGCGCGCAACAGUCUUAUACAAGCGAGACAGAGGAAAGGAGAGAAAGAAGGAAAUUCGUUACACCUGCGUGUGUUCCCUGCGCUUCAAGGUUUCUCGUCGACAUGAACGUGUCACGUCUGGGUUAUGCGAUUUCGUCUAACAUUAUGCGCGCCGACGUAAACGGUAGCAAUAUAACGCUCCGUCGACGUCGCUUACGUAAGAACGAACGCUCGAGGAAGCUCGCCUUAUCUUGCCGCACGUCAGAAGUCCAGACGCGACGUCGGCCACGAACUCUUAAUACGUGCAUUCCGGGGACAACGGGAAUUCCACGGAUAUUUCCAUCUCACCGCGAAAGCUCCAUAUCCAUACCACUCGUCUAAGCAUCCUUGCAGCGAGAGAAAGCUGCUUGGUACUUGUGACUGUAAUUGCAUGCGGACAUCCCCGGCUUGCACGCGACUUUUGAUGACGGAAAUGAAAAUUGUAUGAAAUAUGAUUCGACGAUCUUCUCGUGAUACUCCUCAGCGCUUUUGUGCGCCAAAGAAUGCCGCGACAUGCCGCGGCGCCGAUGACGCAUUCGCGCGACAUAGACGGGGCCUGCCCGAUGCCGCGCAUUUCUUGCACGCAAUAGUAAUGUGCGGCGAGAAAAGACAAAAGUGAAAAAUUGGACGAACGCAGGUGAAUGGAAAUUUAUCAAACUAGACCGAGAAAUCAGUGUUCCAGGUAAAGGUAACGGUUAAACCGAAUUUCGCAGGUAUCCAAAUACAUAUACCUCUAUUCCAUGAAAAAAUAAAAAAAAAUGCGUACAACCCUGUG